GACGAACCGUGCGAACGUUGUUCGGAAUCACUGGGCUUAAAGGGCGCGUAGGCGGGUUCGCAAGUCUGUGGUGAAAGCCUCCAGCUUAACUGGAGAAGUGCCAUGGAUACUGCGCAUCUUGAGGAGGGUAGGGGCGUCUGGAACGGUCGGUGGAGCGGUGAAAUGCGUUGAUAUCGCUUGGAACGCCGAAGGUGAAAACAGGUCGCUGGGGAUGUGCCGACGCUGAGACACGAAAGCCAGGGGAGCAAACGGG
rnacentral:rRNA from 1 species